rnacentral:lncRNA from 1 species
ACUGAGACUCCAGCACUUUCCCUCCAAAUCCCUCCCCUCUGUGUAGCCACAGCUGCCCAGAUUUAGCAGUUCUUGUGGAAGCAGUUUCAGUUCUGCCUACACUGCUGAAAAGGCUGAAGCUACUCUUUUCCCUUUCUAGGUACAGGCCGGUUAUUAUGUGGCUGUCAGCAUGCUGCUCUGAUAUGUCCAGGAUUUUGUAGUCUCAUCUUCUGCCCAGAAAUGUUCACAGUUUCCAUGGAAAUAAAUUGGAGACAUUACCUUUGGAGCAACCUUCAUAUAAAGGCAUGCAGCCCUCAGCAGGCCUAGACUUCUAUGUCAAGGUAUGUAGAUUUUCCAUCAUUUACUGGUUACUUCACUCCUGUGUGUAGAGUUUUACACAUGUAUUGUAAUACGUAACACGUAAUGCACUCCAACUUCACCAAUAUUUCAUGAAAAUUCUGUGAGACAGUUACUCUGGAUGACCUUAUUAACCUCACAACAAUACAUUAACAUACCUCUUGAAUUAUUUAUUGCCUCUAGUCUUCCAGGGACAGCACAGUAUAUGCAUAUGACAAAGCCCUGGUAGGGCCCUCUUUUCAAUGUAUGCAUUCUGUAUAUCAUAGAAUCAUAGAAUCGCUAAGGUUGGAAAAGACCCACAGGAUCAUCCAGUCCCACCAUUCACCCAUCACCAAUGGUUCUUGCUAAACCAUGUCCCUCAACACAACAUCCAAGCGCUCUUUGAAUACCUCCAGGGUCGGUGAAUCCACCACCUCUCUGGGCAACCCAUUCCAGUGUCUGACCACCCUUUCAGAGAAGCAGUAUUUCCUAACGUCCAGCCUGAAUCUUCCCUGGCGCAGCUUGAAGCCAUUCCCUCUAGUCCUAUCACUAGUCACACGAGAGAAGAGGCUGACCCCCAGCUCACUACAACCUCCCUUCAGGUAGUUAUAGAGAGCAAUAAGGUCUCCCCUGAGCCUCCUCUUCUCUAGACUGAACAAUCCCAGCUCCUUCAGCUGCUCUUCAUAAGGCCUGUACUCCAGACCCCUCACCAGCUUUGUUGCCCUCCUCUGGACAGGCUCCAGGGCCUUGAUG